UGGGUGCGUUCACGUGGAAGAGAAGCGAAACUAUAUGCUCUUUAGAGGGGUUUUUAAGAAUUUCAAGCGGUCUAGAGUUUGGAGGACCAUAAAUGAUGGGAAUCGGAGCAAGGUUGAUCUGAAUUGUGCUUUUUGUCCAUGUAAGGAGACUUGGGAUCUGCAUUCUGCCUUCUGUUUGAGGCGAGGUUUUGGGUACCAUGAUGAUGGGGAGCCAGUUGUUCGAGCUUAUGUUUGUGAGAAUGGGCAUGUCUCUGGGGCAUGGACUGAGUACCCAUUGUACACUUAGACGUGGUAUCCUCAAUCUGCCAGUAUGAUAAUAUUUUC
rnacentral:lncRNA from 1 species